rnacentral:rRNA from 1 species
UACGUAGGGUGCAAGCGUUGUCCGGAAUUAUUGGGCGUAAAGAGCUCGUAGGCGGCUUGUCGCGUCGACUGUGAAAUCCCGCGGCUCAACUGCGGGUCUGCAGUCGAUACGGGCAGGCUAGAGUUCGGUAGGGGAGACUGGAAUUCCUGGUGUAGCGGUGAAAUGUGCAGAUAUCAGGAGGAACACCGGUGGCGAAGGCGGGUCUCUGGGCCGAUACUGACGCUGAGGAGCGAAAGCGUGGGGAGCGAACAGG